CCUUCCUCCACCCCCGCUCUUCCCGUCCCAAACGACAAACCGAAGUUGGUCACUGCCGAGUAAUCCGCGCGCUGCGUGUUCCACGCUCUCCCGUGGAAUAAUGUUUCGCGGACGCAUUUUGCGGCGUAAACUUUGUCAGGUAAAUAUUUGACGCAAUCUGGCGCAAGCACGAAACAAUCCGUU